UGGGGAAUAUUGCACAAUGGGCGCAAGCCUGAUGCAGCCAUGCCGCGUGUGUGAAGAAGGCCUUCGGGUUGUAAAGCACUUUCAGCGAGGAGGAAGGUGGUGAACUUAAUACGUUCAUCAAUUGACGUUACUCGCAGAAGAAGCACCGGCUAACUCCGUGCCAGCAGCCGCGGUAAUACGGAGGGUGCAAGCGUUAAUCGGAAUUACUGGGCGUAAAGCGCACGCAGGCGGUUUGUUAAGUCAGAUGUGAAAUCCCCGGGCUCAACCUGGGAACUGCAUUUGAAACUGGCAAGCUAGAGUCUCGUAGAGGGGGGUAGAAUUCCAGGUGUAGCGGUGAAGUGCGUAGAGAUCUGGAGGAAUACCGGUGGCGAAGGCGGCCCCCUGGACGAAGACUGACGCUCAGGUGCGAAAGCGUGGGGAGCAAAACAGGAUUAGAUACCCUGGUAGUCCACGCUGUAAAACGAUGUCGAUUUGGAGGUUGUGCCCUUGAGGCGUGGCUUCCGGAGCUAACGCGUUAAAUCGACCGCCUGGGGAGUACGGCCGCAAGGUUAAAAACUUAAAUGAAUUGACGGGGUCAUAGCUGUUUCCUG
rnacentral:rRNA from 1 species